CUCAGCUGGAGGCCAGCAGCAACGUCGCUUCGCAUCACCUCAUAACGCGUUGCUAAGGUUGCUUUUACAUGUCGUACACGCUGGAAGAAUGUGGAGGAUGCUGAAGAAGUUCACCAGGAUGCUGCCUGGAUUCGAAGCCAAUGAAAGAGGAAACCAAAAGAAGUGCUUCAGCAGAGAGGAAUUAAACAGAAUAGUUUUCAAAGAAUGACAGUUUUAGAUUCCGUUAUCUACAAUUUUAUUUGUUUUCUGGCGAUGCUGGAAAUACCCAGGGCAGUUUUGAUGUACGAUAUUCACAUUUCAGCAGCUCCUGCGUUCCCCUCUCAGAGUGCCAGUGGGUUUUUGUUUUAUGUUGUAUUCUCUCUCUAAAUGUUCUUGUUCAUCUAUUAAUCAGUGACUCGAAGGGCAUUAUGUGAUUUGAAAACUUUGAUCUACACUCCAUCAUAAAUAUUUUCUUUGUUCUGUUCAUCCUUCCCCCUUGCUGCAAUAUUCGUUUCUUCAGUUCUGAUGAAGGGCCUUUGACCUAAAACAUUAAUUCUGUUUCUCUCUUCCCCUAUGCUCCUUGUAAUGUUGAGCGUUUUCCAAUACCUACCAUUUCUAUUUCAGACUUCCAGCACCUGCAGAUUUUUUGAUAUUCAGUUCAACAUUCACUGAUAGGUCACAGAAAAAAAAGUAAAGAUUUGCAGCUAACACCUAGAUAAAAUAUUCAAUGUUGUAAUCUACUGUUUCAGACUCGAUAUUUCUUAUUAUAUGGAUCUUUAUAUUCUGCUUCUGAUUAAAAACUCUCCAUAAUAGCUGAUUAUUGGGGAUGCUAUGUGGUAUUAGAACAUAGAAAAUACAGCACAGUACAGCCCUUGUACAUGAUGUUGUGCCAACCUUUUAACCUACCCUAAGAUCAAUAUAACCCUUCCCUCCCACAUACCCCCGAUUUUUCUUUUUGAGUCCUAAAUCUGUACUACCACACCUGCCAGCACAUCCCACAUACCUACCACUUUCUGUGUAAAAAUAAACUACUUCUGAAAUCCUCCCCCCAUACUUUCCUCCAAUCACUUUAUACUUGCACCUUAUAUUUGGCCCCCCUGACUCCAUCAAAGUGACUACCAACAGUCUUGGUAACCUGUACACCCUUGUCAAACCCCAUGUUAGAUCCCUUGGUGUGAUAUUUGAUUCCACCUUUAAGUUUGACAACCAAGUUAAUACAGUAGUAAAAGCUAGUUUUUUCCAGCUUCAUACUAUUGCCAAAAUCAAGCAGUUUCUCUCUUUCAAAGAUCUCGAGAAAGUCAUCCAUGCCCUUAUAUCCUCCCGCUUGGACUACUCCAAUUCCCUGUAUACUGGGAUUAGUCAGUCAUCCCUGUCCCGUCUGCAACUGGUCCAAAAUGCCGGAGCUAGGCUCCUGACAGGUGCCUGGAAGAGGGACCAUAUUAUUCCUAUGCUGGCCUCCCUCCACUGGCUGCCAGUAUGGUUCAGAAUUGAUUUUAAGAUUCUCCUGUUUGUUUAUAAAGCCCUAAAUGGGCUGGCCCCCCGUUAUAUCACAUUCUAACCCCUUAUUCUACUUCCAGGUCCCUCAGGUCGGCUGACUUGGGGCUCCUGGCUGUCCCAUGAUCUAAACUUAAGCUCAGGGGUGACUGCGCUUUUGCUAUUGUAGCCCCUAGACUGAGGAACAGCAUUCCCCUUCCUAUCAGAUCUGCCUCCUCCAUUGACUCUUAAAUCCAGGCUCAAAUCUUACUUUUAUUCAUUAGUGUUUGAAUCCUCCUGAUGUGGCUGAUUUUUGCCUUGUGCCUAGGCCCUUGCGUUGUUUCUUUUGUGCCUAUAAGCUGUUUGCCCUUGUUGGUAAUGUCUGUGUUUCUCGUAUUUGUAAUUUUAGCUAUUCUGCUCUGAUCUGUACAGCACUUUGGUCAACGUGGGUUUUUUUUAAAUAUGCUGUAUAAAUAAAUUUGACUUGACUUGACUUGACUUGACUUGCACUCUCUUAUGAUAGCUAUUUCCACCCUGAAAAAAAGGUUCCUGGCUGUCCACUCUAUGUAUGUCUCUUAUACACCUCUAUUAAGUCACCAAGACUGCAAGAAACUGCAGAGGGUUGUGGAUACAGCUCAGCACAUCACAGAAACCAGCUUCACUUCCACAGAUGUUGUCUACAUUUCUCAUUGCCUUAGUCAAGCAGUCUCACCCACUCUGGACAUUCUCUCCUCUUCCCCUGCUAUUACACAGAAGAUACAAACACAUGGAAGCACAUACUACCAGGAUUUAGGAUACCUUCUAUCCAGCUGUUAUGAGACAAUUGAAUGAUUCCCUGGAUCGAUAAAAUGCACUCUUGACCUCACAAUAUACCUCAUUAUGACCUUGCACCUUA